AACGAACGCUGGCGGCAUGCCUAACACAUGCAAGUCGAACGAACCCUUCGGGUCUAGUGGCGCACGGGUGCGUCAGGCGUGGGAACCUUCCCUUAGGUUCAGCCUACCUCUCCGACUGGGAUGAUAAUACCGGAUAAUGUCUUCGACCCAAAGAUUUAUUGACCUUGUUUGUGCGAGCGUGGGAUUCGCUCGUUGGUAGGCUAAUAGACUACUACGGCGACGAUCCAUAGCUGGUAAGAGAGGAUGAUCAGCGACACUGGGACUGAGACCCGGCCUAGAAUCCUACGGGAGGCAGGAGUGGGGAAUAGAGGAAAGUCGGGGAAAGGCUGAACCAGCAAUGACGGGUGAGUGAUGAAGGCAGUAGGGUUGUAAAGCGCUUUUAACCGGGAUGAUAAUGACAGUACCGGGAGAAUAAGCCCCGGCUAACUCCGUG
rnacentral:rRNA from 1 species